AUUGAACGCUGGCGGCAUGCCUUACACAUGCAAGUCGAACGGCAGCACGGGAGCAAUCCUGGUGGCGAGUGGCGAACGGGUGAGUAAUAUAUCGGAACGUGCCCAGUCGUGGGGGAUAACGUAGCGAAAGCUACGCUAAUACCGCAUACGAUCUAUGGAUGAAAGCGGGGGAUCGCAAGACCUCGCGCGAUUGGAGCGGCCGAUAUCAGAUUAGGUAGUUGGUGGGGUAAAAGCUCACCAAGCCGACGAUCUGUAGCUGGUCUGAGAGGACGACCAGCCACACUGGGACCGAGACACGGCCCAGACUCCUACGGGAGGCAGCAGUGGGGAAUUUUGGACAAUGGGCGCAAGCCUGAUCCAGCAAUGCCGCGUGCAGGAUGAAGGCCUUCGGGUUGUAAACUGCUUUUGUACGGAGCGAAAAGGCUUCCACUAAUACUGGGGGCUCAUGACGGUACCGUAAGAAUAAGCACCGGCUAACUACGUGCCAGCCGCCGCAGUAAGAC
rnacentral:rRNA from 1 species